ACCUCGGAGAGUUUGAUCCUGGCUCAGGACGAACGCUGGCGGCGUGCCUAAUACAUGCAAGUCGAGCGAACAGAAGGGAGCUUGCUCCCGGAUGUUAGCGGCGGACGGGUGAGUAACACGUGGGUAACCUGCCUGUAAGACUGGGA
rnacentral:rRNA from 1 species